AGCAGCCGCGGUAAUUCCAGCUCCAAUAGCGUAUAUUAAAGUUGUUGCAGUUAAAAAGCUCGUAGUUGAAUUUCGGGGUUCUACCGUUGGUCGGGCAAUAGUCUGUACUGGCGUGUGGAAUUUCUACCUUCUGGGGAACCAUCAUGUUAUUAAUUUAGCGUGAUGGGAAACCAGGACCUUUACCUUGAAAAAAUUAGAGUGUUCAAAGCAGGCUUACGUCUGAAUACAUUAGCAUGGAAUAAUAAAAAUAGGACGGUGGUCCUUUUGUUUUGUUGGUUUCUGAAUCACCGUAAUGAUUAAUAGGGAUAGUUGGGGCAUUAGUAUUCAAUUGUCAGAGGUGAAAUUCUUGGAUUUAUUGAAGACUAACUUCU
rnacentral:rRNA from 1 species